AACAUUGGAACGGGCUAUCCAGAGAAACACUGGAGGCUCAAUUCUUGACAUAUGAAAAAAUCUGUCUGGACAUGACCUUGAGCAACCUGCUCUGAGCAGAGUUUUAGACAAGAUCUCCAGUAACACCUUCCUGCAUCAGCUGGUUUGUACCUCUUUCUGCAGACUACCUACAUUUAAACAUCCAAAGGCACAAGGCCAGUCAGGAGUGUGAAGUACUUUUUCACUGACCAUAUUAUCCUGAACAGCUUUUCCUCAUCCUGCAAGCAAGGCAGCUGCUUCUCUGGCUCUUGUUUUUCCUGUUACAAGAGUACCUGUCAUGCCCUUGGGAGGGGAAUUUUCAGUCAUUCUGAUUGGAGAAUGAUGUUUGGUUGUACACUUAAAACCUGAUUUAAAAGACCUUCUGACUUUCCAUAUUGCCUUUGGAAAGUUGGGCUUCUGGGGACUUCGAUUCCAACGGUAGCUGGCAUUUGCCCAAUGAAAGGAAACAAGGUGAGCAGAUGGAAACAGGCUGUGAGUAUGGGCAGAUCCAGUACUGGCCCAGAGAAGUUUGACCUGAUCUUUCAUGGAGAAGUUUAUUCUGGAAAAGCUAAACAUUAGAUGGAGUUAUUACUGUGUGACGCUGGCUGAUGACAGGAAGGAUUACAGGCUGCACAGGGAGGUUGUGGAGUCUCCCUCUCUGCAGACAUUCCAAACCGUCCCGGCUGU